rnacentral:rRNA from 1 species
UACAGAGGGUGCGAGCGUUGUCCGGAAUCACUGGGCGUAAAGGGCGCGUAGGCGGCUUGUCGCGUCGGAUGUGAAAGCCCGGGGCUUAACUUCGGGUCUGCAUUCGAUACGGGCAGGCUAGAGUUCGGUAGGGGAGAUCGGAAUUCCUGGUGUAGCGGUGAAAUGCGCAGAUAUCAGGAGGAACACCGGUGGCGAAGGCGGAUCUCUGGGCCGAUACUGACGCUGAGGAGCGAAAGCGUGGGGAGCGAACAGG